rnacentral:rRNA from 1 species
ACGGUAACAGGUCUUCGGACGCUGACGAGUGGCGAACGGGUGAGUAAUACAUCGGAACGUGCCCAGUCGUGGGGGAUAACUACUCGAAAGAGUAGCUAAUACCGCAUACGAUCUGAGGAUGAAAGCGGGGGACCUUCGGGCCUCGCGCGAUUGGAGCGGCCGAUGGCAGAUUAGGUAGUUGGUGGGAUAAAAGCUUACCAAGCCGACGAUCUGUAGCUGGUCUGAGAGGACGACCAGCCACACUGGGACUGAGACACGGCCCAGACUCCUACGGGAGGCAGCAGUGGGGAAUUUUGGACAAUGGGCGAAAGCCUGAUCCAGCAAUGCCGCGUGCAGGAUGAAGGCCUUCGGGUUGUAAACUGCUUUUGUACGGAACGAAAAAGCUUCUCCUAAUACGAGAGGCCAUGACGGUACCGUAAGAAUAAGCACCGGCUAACUACGUGCCAGCAGCCGCGGUAAUACGUAAGGUGCGAGCGUUAAUCCGGAAUUACUG